rnacentral:rRNA from 1 species
GGCGGCGUGCUUAACACAUGCAAGUCGAACGAUGAUGCCCAGCUUGCUGGGUGGAUUAGUGGCGAACGGGUGAGUAACACGUGAGUAACCUGCCCCUGACUCUGGGAUAAGCGUUGGAAACGACGUCUAAUACUGGAUAUGAUCACUGGCCGCAUGGUCUGGUGGUGGAAAGAUUUUUUGGUUGGGGAUGGACUCGCGGCCUAUCAGCUUGUUGGUGAGGUAAUGGCUCACCAAGGCGACGACGGGUAGCCGGCCUGAGAGGGUGACCGGCCACACUGGGACUGAGACACGGCCCAGACUCCUACGGGAGGCAGCAGUGGGGAAUAUUGCACAAUGGGCGAAAGCCUGAUGCAGCAACGCCGCGUGAGGGAUGACGGCCUUCGGGUUGUAAACCUCUUUUAGUAGGGAAGAAGCGAAAGUGACGGUACCUGCAGAAAAAGCACCGGCUAACUACGUGCCAGCAGCCGCGGUAAUACGUAGGGUGCAAGCGUUGUCCGGAAUUAUUGGGCGUAAAGAGCUCGUAGGCGGUUUGUCGCGUCUGCUGUGAAAUCCCGAGGCUCAACCUCGGGCUUGCAGUGGGUACGGGCAGACUAGAGUGCGGUAGGGGAGAUUGGAAUUCCUGGUGUAGCGGUGGAAUGCGCAGAUAUCAGGAGGAACACCGAUGG